CAUGAACGGCGAGAUCAUGACCUGAGCCAAAGUCGAACGCUCAACCGAGCCACCUAGGCACCCCAGGUUUACGUAAUUUUUAAGGUCCCUUCUAGCUCUAAAUUUCCAUGAUUUGUAAAUACAAGGUGCAUAUAAGAUUUCCCUUUCCCACUCAUGACUUUUGAAAAAUAUUACAUGUAUUUUAAAUCGAUCUUGAGACUAUAAAAUCUGUAACAGAUUUAUUACAAAUUUGGUGUUUCAGAAUUAUUUUGAAUUAUUUUGUAUAGUUGAUAUAAUAGUAGUAGCUUACCCUUUGGCUCUUUGUAAUGUCCCAAAACUAUUUAACAAAAUCUGUCCAAACUCCUGGUCUUUCCUUAUAGUGUACAUAUUGAGGAAGAAAGCCUUGGCUCACUUCUAAUUUAAGGAAGCAAUGUUUUUAAGCUGGUUGCAGAACAGAUAGUUGGCUUAACAUUUUUCUGUGCUCAUGCAUGUAACCAUCAUGGCAACCAGUACUUUUUGGAGUUCAUGCUCCUUUGAUAGUUCUUGAAAGAAUUCUCAUGGGAAGCUCAUUGGGGAGAGCUGCUUAAGACAGCUAUUCUGGAUCUGAUUUUCUAAUGUUAUAUAUGUAUUGUAGGCUUCAUGGGACAAAUUGGUUCCAAUGCUGAUAUUUAUUUCAGAGUUACUUAUUAUCAGAGUUAAUUCUCUUAAAAAGUAUGCCUUAAAGUAUACAUCAUGGAUUAUUUCUUCAAAGUAAUCUUCUAUUAUAAGAAGCUCAUGAAAAAUAAGUUUAAGGAAGUAUUUUUGUGCUGAUACCAUUUAUUAUUCUUAAAAAACAAAACAGUAGCAAACAAAUCCCUUCUGGCCUCAUAUGGAUGUUGGUGACUUUGUAGUUAAUGUUAAGCUGCAAAAAUAUUGUGUAAAUAAAAUUGCUUUACCUUUGAAAAAAAUUAUCAUAUAUCCAUUGUUUUAUAUCAGUUAAUGAAUUAUUAUAACUACUAUUGGAAAUAAGCUACUACUGAAUAGAGUACAUAAACUAUUUAUAUUCUCCCAACUUUGAAUUAGCAGUGUUACCACUCUUUGCAAUUACUGUUUUAAAAUAUGGGGAGAGGAAACCUUUUUCCUUUCUCUAUAAUAGAGAUAUUAUAAAGAGAACUGUUAUUUUCAUGGUUAACAAGUAUACUGUAUGUGAUCUAUGGAGGAAAUGCCAGAAGAAAUAGGAAAUACUAUUUUAAGGGGGUGUGUGGAAUGUUUAGGAGGAAAAGAAGAUAGCAUUUAUAAUAUUUGUAAUUUAAUCUUCAUACAAUUUAAAGAUGAUAGGUUGUCAGUAGUAAUUUUCCUGUGUAGAUUGUUUCUUUGCAUUUUCAUUAUACUCAGAUUGCAUUGCGUUGUGUAUAUAUAACUUGAUUUUUUUUAUUUUUCGUUUGUCCAUUAAGACUGUCAGUCAAUUAAAUAAAACUAGGGCUUAUUUAUAAUGUCCCACAUUUGGUGUAAUAAGUUCAUAAUAUGUGUACAUAUUUUUCCCCUUUUGUUAUACUUGUAAUUGCCUGAUAGAAAUGUAAUGUUCCUAAACUGGUUUGCGUUAUUAAAGUGCUAAUUUUAUGCUUA